AUGUGUCGGACAGUGUCGGAUGCAGUCCAUGUGCUGGAUGCCAUCGUCGGCUACGACAAGCUCGAUGCCGCGGCCACUCGAGCAGCAUCCAAGUACAUACCUUACGGCGGAUAUCUGCAGUUCCUGAAGAAGGAUGGGCUGAGAGGGAAGAGGAUUGGCGUCCCCAAUGUAUUAUUUCAACAAGGACUUGGAGAGAAGCAGAUGAGGGUGUACGAACAGCAGCUUGGCAGAAUGAGGAAACACGGAGCCGUGGUGAUCGAGAACCUUGACAUCGGCAUCGACAGUCAAGAUAUUGUUUCCUAUGAGUGGACUGCCAUGCUGACGGAGUUCAAGUUGAGCAUAAACGAGUACUUGGCGGACUUGUCCUACUCUCCAGUCCAUUCUCUUGCAGACAUCAUAGCCUUCAACAAGGCGCAUCCUAUAGAGGCAAGCAUACUGAAAAAAACUCAUUCUAGCUUUCAUCUCUUCGGUCUUGUUAUAGAUUCAAACAGUGUACAAUCAUCUUGCAGAGGACAUCAGGCAAUAAAACUCUAA
rnacentral:rRNA from 1 species